CCAGCUCCCCAGGGAAUGGGGGUGGUAUGGAGCCUGCAGGGGCAGAUCGCUCCCAAUCCUGUCUCUGUGUGGGGACAGAGGGACACCAGGUAGCAGGACAUCCACAUGAAGAGACAUCCAGGCAAGAGGGAUGAUGGGAUUGUGGGAGAAGGACAGAAGACAGGGUCCUGCCCUCAAGGCCACCCUACCUUGUUAAGCAGCAGCUCAUCCUGAAGCUUCUUCAUGUUGGCUAUCUCCUCGCUCAGUGAG